AUGCCACAGGUGCUCAAAGAAAUACUCUAUCACCAUGCGUCAAUAGGAGAAGGAAUUCCCGGGUAUGCCAAAUUAGAUACUGACGUCGAAAGCCAAAGCAAAAUGAAGAAGAGGAAGAAGAAGAAGAAGAAGACAACGAGCAAGAAGACUUCAUCCUCUCCUGGCCAAAACCAACAUCACAAGUUGCAUCCUGCCCUGCUAUCCCUCUGUGUGACGGCAUGUAACAAAUAUCACCUUGAUCUCGACACAAUUUUGAGAGAGGUAAGAGACCAAGCUACAGAUCCAGAAGAAUAUACCAUGUUCAGCCUUGCGACAAAGAUGGUGCAGUUAAACAGGGGUAUCAUCACCACCGAUAGCCUGACAGCGAUGAAGCUUACCACUAGGAUGGUGAUAGCAGAAAUGCAGAAACUCAGGGGCCAUGGCGCCCGAAUUAAUCUCGAGAGCCUCAUGGACUCGCUGUCCAGCGCUUCAGAGACCAUGCUGGAUCUCGAGGGCAGCAUGGUUUUCGCCACCGAGAUCACGAUGGCGGUACCUGCCACUGCCGACACCCUUGAUUCCCUCGUGAAGAAAGCACGGCAACUCCACAGAGAAAUGAAGCACCAAGACUCAGAGAUAGAGCCAGAUAACUAG
rnacentral:rRNA from 1 species